rnacentral:misc_RNA from 1 species
UUCAAAAUUCCAUUACAACUACAUAGUGAGCAAAACUAGAAAAAAGAAAGUACAAAGAAAUGAAUAUUGAUGCUUUUUAUCUUCUGGCUCCCCACCCCCCUUUUCGGGGGUGGUUUUAUUAAGCUGCAAUCAGAGUUCAUUUUAGCUUCCAUUAGUUUCAGGUCAGGCACAAGUACAACAUGCAGAAAAUGUCAAAUUUUUGAGAUCUUAUAGUAUCAUAUCCUACUCUCCGCCAACCAUACAGUCUCAAGCUUG